AUGCGCGUGACGCUCACGCCCAAGGACGAGGAUUGGCUGGUCGUGCUGAUGACGAGGGAGCGCCCGCGGUCGGCGGUGGUCGCGCCUGGGGGGGACGUCUUCACCGCCGGUGGCGGCGGGGAGACGUCCGAUGGGGACUCCUCAGAGUCGCUGGAAGAAAUUAGUGCCGCCGACUUUAAGGAGUCGUCCAGUGGCACCGCCGCUGCGUCGGCGUCGGCGCAGAGAUCUAGGGUUUGGAUGGGAUACACCAUGUCCAGGAGUUAUGCGCCGGCGUUCCACAGCUUUGCUUGGGCGCAGGCUGUGCAGAACAAGCCUCUCGUUCCGCGGCCUGUUGCCGACGAGGACGAGGUAGAGCACCUCGUCGACGCCUCGGACGAGGAGAAGGAAGAGGGCGAGAUUGAGGAGGGGGAGGCCGUACAGUCCACUUCCCCUCCAAUUAAGCAGCCUGAGACCAUCGACUUGGACUCUGAUGCGCAGGACAAGUCAGAGUCAGUGGCCAUGGAGCAGACCCCUUUGGCCUUCGAGGCAGCUGAUGAGCUGGAUUUUGACCAGCGCGUGGGGAGUAUACUGGAGGAGCUUGAGAGGCUUUCCAUUGAGGAAGCUGAGAAGUCAUUUGAGGGUUCGUGUGCCCGCCUGCGGUCUUGCUUUGAGAGCCUUAAGCCGCUGUUCCCAGAGAGCGGUAGCCCGAUGCCUAUGCUUGAUGCUCUUGUGCAACAGGCUUUUGUUGGAAUCGACACCAUCACCACUGUAGCUAAUUCAUAUGCGAUGCCGAAGAGGGAGCAGAACAAGAACAUGCUCUUGAAGCUGUUGUUUCACAUAAAGAACAGAUAUUCAGACAUGCUGGCACUCAGCCAGCGAGAUGAGCUCGAUAGUCGUGUGAGACAGUUAGUUUUUGUAGAUGGAGAAGACAAUGCCGGUUCCAAUUGUAGCACCAAAACAGUGAAUGUGGUUGUUCAAUCUGGACAGGUUCCAUCAGAUAGACUGCCAGUCGAGUCAGGAGCAGCAAAUCCACUUAGGGGCUCUAGUUUCCCUAGCUGGGAGAUACCGGCGAAUAAUAGAAUGGUUAGCCCCUUGUUGGACCUUCAUGCAGAUUAUGACGAGAACAGCUUACCCUCACCCACCCGAGAUAGUGCACCACCUUUUCCUGUGCCAAAGCCCAUUGGAUUUGGAGUAUUUCCAAUGGCACCUGACAGAUAUUUUUUGGCGGAAAGAGUUGAUCCUUCAAAAAAAGUUCUGUAUACAUGUGUGAAUGAUGCGCUAAAGGAUGUUUCCUCGUACCGACAGAAGUAUGGCCAGACAUCUACCUUUGCAAGUGAUGAUCUUCCAAGCCCAACCCCAUCUGAUGAUGGGGAUAAAUCUGGAGACAAAGAAGGUGAUAUAUUUGGUGAAGUUUCAAGCUUUUCAGCUUCUAAUAAGUCUGCUCCGCCAAGUGGGAAUCUGAUACCUGCCUCCCGACCUAGUGCAGUUAUCAGCAGCAAUGACAGUUUUGCAGGUGGUCCUCCAGGCUAUGCUAAACAAAUUGAACAGUCUGUUUCAGGACCCAGCCAUGCUCUUAAGCCUUCAGCUAAAAGUAGAGAUCCAAGGCUCAGGUUUUUGAACCGUGAUUCUGGUGGUACUGCAGAUGCAAAUAGACAUGUAAAUUUUGCAGAGCCAAAUGCUUCCAAAGAUGGGACCUUGGGGGGUGUUGUAUCAGAUAAUAGCCGGAAGCACAAGGCAACUGGCCAACCUCUCACGGGUGAAACCGUGUUAAAAAGAGCUAGGGAGAGUACUGGGAAUCCCAGAGACAUGCAGGUACCACCUAGUAGAGAUGGAAGUAACAUUAGCUCCUAUUCAGGUGACAGGGUUCAAUCAAAUCAGCAUAAAGGGCUUGAAACUAAGGCAGCCGGGAAUCCUAGUAUUAGGACCAGUAGUCAACUUAUUAGCAACGUAAGUAGUAUCCCAGACAGUACUGGAACUCUCCAAGCCUCCCAGCCUAAUUCAGUUCCACAGACCAGUGCAGCUCCUAUUGUUUCAUUGCCCGCAGUGUUAAAGGACAUCGCUGUGAACCCGACUGUGCUCAUGCAUUGGAUUCAAAUGGAACAUCAGAAGAGGUCAGCAUCAGAGCCUCAGCCUGCUUCAGGUAUUAUCUCUAGUGGCAUGAUCAAUAAUGUCACUGCUGGGAUGGUUAUACCACCUGGCAAUGCUCUGAAGACCGCAGAAGUUGCACACAUUCCUUCUUAUAGGCCACAAGCAACAUCGCAAACAGCCUCUGUGAAUUCACAAAAUGACCCUGGAGUAAUACGUAUGAAGGCCCGUGAUCCCCGUCGUGUCCUCCACAAUAACACAUCACAGAAGAACGAUACUCCGAACUCUGAUCAAGCCAAAAGCAAUGGAAUCACCCUGCCGGCCUUCCAGGACAGCAAAGACAAUUUGAUUAACCGUGAACAACUGGCAGAGCAACUUCAGACUACUGUGUUGCCAUCUCAACCAGUCUCAUUAUCCAGCAUUGCUGGACAGUCCACCAUGAGCGCGAGUAAGGUGGAUCCUGUCUCUAAUUCACAGUUAGCUGCUUCAUCACUCAUUGCUCCUCAAGAAACUUUAGUCAGCGUAAAUAGGGCAGAUCCAAGAGUAGCUGCUGGACAGAAUGAUUCCAAUGAUGCUGCCCCUGCUACAACACUUGGUACCAGGCCACCAGCUAACCAGUGGGGUGAUCUUGAUGAUCUCCUCAACGGUUAUGAUGACCAGCAGAAGGCUCUCAUACAGAAGGAAAGGGCAAGACGGAUCAUGGAACAGCACACGAUGUUUUCAUCGAGGAAACUUUGUUUAGUGCUUGAUUUGGAUCACACUCUCCUCAAUUCUGCGAAGUUUAUAGAAGUGGAUCCUAUUCAUGAAGAGAUUUUGCGGAAGAAAGAGGAACAAGACCGGGAAAGGUCAGAGCGGCAUCUGUUCCGAUUCCAUCAUAUGCAAAUGUGGACUAAACUAAGACCAGGAAUAUGGAAUUUUCUCGAGAAGGCGAGCAAGCUUUACGAGUUACAUCUGUACACGAUGGGGAACAAGCUGUAUGCUACUGAGAUGGCUAAGGUUCUUGAUCCUAGUGGAACCCUGUUUGCAGGGAGAGUCAUCUCAAGAGGUGGUGAUGGCAUCUCAAGAGGUGGUGAUGGUGAUACAUUUGACAGCGAUGACCGUGUACCAAAAAGUAAAGAUCUUGAUGGGGUUUUGGGGAUGGAAUCUGCAGUAGUGAUCAUCGACGAUUCUGUGAGAGUCUGGCCCCACAACAAAAACAAUAUGAUUGUUGUAGAGAGAUACACCUAUUUCCCCUGCAGCAGACGGCAAUUUGGCCUUCCUGGACCAUCACUUCUUGAAAUUGAUCGUGAUGAAAGGCCGGAGGAUGGCACUCUUGCUUCUUCGUUGGCGGUUAUUGGGCGCAUUCAUCAAAACUUCUUUUCUCAUCCCAACCUCAAUGAUGCUGAUGUGCGCAGCAUACUAUCAUCUGAGCAGCGGAGGAUCCUUGCCGGCUGCCGUAUUGUCUUUAGCCGGAUUUUCCCUGUUGGAGAGGCUAACCCCCACUUGCAUCCUCUCUGGCAGACUGCAGAGCAGUUCGGUGCAGUGUGCACGAACCAGAUUGACGAUCAGGUUACUCAUGUCGUUGCCAACUCACUAGGAACCGACAAGGUGAAUUGGGCACUACAAACAGGCAGAUUCGUCGUUCACCCAGGAUGGGUAGAAGCUUCAGCACUUCUAUACCGGCGUGCCAAUGAACACGAUUUUGCAGUAAAAUAA
rnacentral:rRNA from 1 species